rnacentral:rRNA from 1 species
AUUGAACGCUGGCGGCAGGCCUAACACAUGCAAGUCGAACGGUAACAGGAAGAAGCUUGCUUCUUUGCUGACGAGUGGCGGACGGGUGAGUAAUGUCUGGGAAACUGCCUGAUGGAGGGGGAUAACUACUGGAAACGGUAGCUAAUACCACAUAACGUCGCAAGACCAAAGAGGGGGACCUUCGGGCCUCUUGCCAUCGGAUGUGCCCAGAUGGGAUUAGCUAGUAGGUGGGGUAACGGCUCACCUAGGCGACGAUCCCUAGCUGGUCUGAGAGGAUGACCAGCCACACUGGAACUGAGACACGGUCCAGACUCCUACGGGAGGCAGCAGUGGGGAAUAUUGCACAAUGGGCGCAAGCCUGAUGCAGCCAUGCCGCGUGUAUGAAGAAGGCCUUCGGGUUGUAAAGUACUUUCAGCGAGGAGGAAGGGAGUAAAGUUAAUACCUUUGCUCAUUGACGUUACCCGCAGAAGAAGCACCGGCUAACUCCGUG